CGAGGCGAGACGACACCGCAGCCGCCGCGCCGGCGGGCGAAGGGGAGCGGAGAGCACCGGCGCUCAACUUUCGCGUCUGCAUUUUUGGGUCACCCCGCACGGAGCAUUUACCUGCGUGCUGGACAGAGGGAAGAUGCUGGCUGCACCUCCAGGAGCAUGGUCCAGGCCCUCGGGACACGCUGCUGACGGGCUCCCUGCGCCCCUCUGCUCCUCGAAACAGACCCCAAGGCCAGCCCGGCUCCCUGUGACACCAGCGAGCACCGAGGUGUCUGCACAGGUCUGGCUGCGAUCACACGGGCUUGGCUGAGCCCGAGCACUGGCGACAGCUCGGCCGGGCUCCCCCCAGCCUCGUCAGCACCUUUGGCUGGGAAAAAACAUCAUCCCCGGGGGCUCCUCUUCAGGGUGAGGAGGGGGUGCAAGUGGAAACACAAUGCCACGUCCCUCCUGGGGGACAGGGGACGGCAGACAGCCCCACGGCUGGGGGGCACAAGGGCAGCUGGCAAAACGUGGCACAGCCUUAGUGCCAGCCUGGCAUCAGCGCCAGGCAAAGGGGCUCGCAGCCCCUCCGCCCUGUCCCGCGUUACACCCGGGCUGGCUGAGAUUUCCCUGCAGAGCUGCCCGAUGCUCGCAGCACCGGAGUAUUUAUGUGUCCCUGGGGUUAUUAGCAGCCCGGGAUGCUGCUCCCCAUCCCCGCAUCGCCAUAAAGCAGCGCCGAGCUCUGGAAUGUUUCUGGGAGAGCGCAGGGAUCGGGCUGCACAUGAACUCUCCCGCACAAUUCAGGCUCCAGCCUCGGGGCUAUUUUUAGCAGCUCCCUCCGAGAUGCUCUUCAGUUGCAGUUUUAUGUGUGAAAUUUAAUAUACGAGGAGGGGGGGAGGGGAGCGGGGCUGGAUGCCGGCACGUCCCUGCUGGCUGGGAGGUUUAUCCCAGUCUCAGCGACACGAGUGCAAGGCAAACCUAAAAUCAUCCAUCCAAGAGCUCCUGAUGUGCAGGUGGCAGCAGGGGACAGGCAGAGCUGGUGGCUCGGGGAGCUGUGGUCAGCUCCUGCCUCAGCCACAUCCAAAAUCCUCCCCUGAGGUCCCUGCCUCUCCCCCCACCCCACCAUGAGCUCAGGGAGCUGCAGUCACAGGCACGGAGCAGGAUGGGUGUGAGGCCAGCAGGGAUUUUGGGGAGCCCACCCAGCACAGGAGGAUUUCCCUGCCUGAGCAGCAAGGAACAGCUCAGGAGGUCCCUGUCCCUCAGGAACAGGGAGGGCUGUGGGUAUCAAUCCCCCGUGGCAGCUCCCAGCUCAGGGAGCAUCACCUGUGUCCCCUGAGCCCCCUGGGUGACACUGCUAGUGACAAUCCCAGCUCGCAGGGGGUUGGUGUGUCCCUGCUGACAGGGCACAGGGUGCUGCAAAUCCACAGCAGCAGCACAGACCGGCUUCUUCUUGAGGAGCCUCAAGAACAGGGAGGGAGAAGAAACCUUUCCCUUUGCCACAGGACACGAAGGGACAGGGCAGAGCCCUGAGCACCCCACAGCAGCUUUUGCUCCUGUUGGGCCAAAUGCUGCUCAAGGCUCAGCCCAGCAGGGAAUGAGAUCCCAUCCCAGGCACACCAAGGGACACAACAGCAAGCUCAGGGACCCCAAGCCUUGCUGUCCUUGUUGUUACUGACACCUGCACCUGCUUCUAACACAAAUCCAUCCUAGUGCAGGGCAACACUGCUUGAUACAGUACCUGCCCUCCACAAAGGGUGGAAAUUGCCAAAAAUCCAGGUGCUGCAAAGCCAAGGCUGGGCAAGGUGAGGGUGAAAGUUACCCUGCUCCAGAGCAACACUCCCAAACCUGCUGCUUGCUCUGUUGGAUUUCUGGUCACUUCAAGCACUGAAUUUGGGGCUGCCCAGGCUUGGCUCUGGCCUGGCAGAGGUUUUGCAGCCCAACCCAUCUUGCUUGAGAUGGGACCACAGAUGGCAAAGCCCUCUAAAAAACAGCACCAGUGCAAAGCAAUCCAAACACAUCACUGACUCCCAGGAUUUUAUCAUCUCACCACAGGGAAAACAGGUCACACUACACACAGCCCAGCUGGGACCCCAAAAGGGCUAGAUGAGUACAUCAUCUUCUGCUCCUCAUCUGGAUCUGUCCCUUUGAGAUGAGAAGCAGCAGUUGGAGGACCAGGGAAACUUGCUGCCUCUUCCCCCUGCAAGCCCCUAAUUUUUGGGGCCUGUGCUGUAGAAGUGGCUGGUGGAAAAAGAAACCUGGUGAGUAAAAAAACAAAUCCCACCAAAUCCAGCCUUCAGCCCUGCUGCUCCCCUGGGCAGAGCCAGCAGCAGGGGAGUGGCUCCUCUCCCCAUUCCCACAGAGCCACGCACAGCCAGAGCCAGUGGAAAUGAGUUUAUUGACACGGAGGGGAGGGCAGGUAAAGCCUGAAGAGCGACACGAACUGAGCACUCGAACGAGCAGGGGCGGAGGGAACGCCACCAACAGCCCCGGGGUGACACUCCCACCCCACAAGCUGGGAAGGAAUUUGGCAAGAGAAGGGGGUGCUCAGCAACCCCUCCCUCCCCCCUGCCCCACACAGCAUCGCACUCAGUGCCACUGGUGCUUCCUUAAUUGCGCUGUUAAUGAUUUUUACGCUACACCCGCAGGGCUUGGAGCAAAUCACCUCCCAGCACAGGGAGGGCUCAAGGGCUGGGUUGCUCCAGCUCUGCCCCACUUUCUUCCCCCCAGGCAGAGCACAGGGGUUCCUACACAGGGACACCACCUUCCCCAGGGUCGUGCAGCUCCUGGGCCCUGCUGGAGCCUCUCCCAGGAACAUUGUGACCUUUUCCCAGCACUGGGUUCUUGGCUGCAGUCAGUGCCAAAGCCCUGAUGAACGAUCUCCCACCGUGAAACAUUUAUUGAGUUUGAGUGGCAUCUAAAAGGACAACAGGGGGGUUGCUACACUCAAGAGCUUUGUUAGCUGGGGAGGAGAUGUCCAAGCAUGCUGGGGAGGGUGAGGCUGCUCUGGAUUAGGGCUUGGAUUAAGCAGGACAAGCUAUGGAUGGAGCAGGGACAUGCAAGAGGUUUUGCUUUCACUGCUGUUGCUGCAGCACUGAGUGGUUGCAGUGGGAUGAGUCCACAGCUGUGGACUGGAACAAUCCUGGCUCUAAGGGACAGGCUGGAAAAGAGGGGCCAGGGCAUGGGGCUGCUCAGGACAGGGACUCAAAGCAGGAACCUGGCUGGCUUUGGCCACCGUGUGCGUCUGGGCACAGAGAGUGGAGCUGCCAAUGCAGGAAACACUUCCAUGACCUGCUCCACUCAGCCCCAGGCAGGCAGGGAGCAAACUGCCAAACCCAAACCAUCUCCCACCCUGCCCCAGCCUGGCUUUUGGGGCAACAGGGAGAGCCACUCUGCUCCCCUGGGGCACUGCUAGCAGCAGCCCCCUGGCAAAGUGGCAUUGUCACAAUUUGGAUGUGCCACCACGAGCCUGGGAGUUGCCAGGGCCAGCACUGGGAGAGGGGGCACAGCUCAGGGAGGGCUGAGAAGGCAGCUUGGCCUCAGCAGGCACACAAAGAAUGGGAGGAAGAGGGGCUGCACAUGGGUGGGGAUGCAGAGACCACACCUGGAGCUCUGGCAGGAGCCUUUUGCUCUAAGAACAGGCUCAGUUCCUUCACUUCAUCCACUGCUGCCCUGCAGCUCACACAAAAGCAGCCCCCCCCUCCUCAAAUCACCAGCUCAUGAGGCAGGGAGAUGGCUGGAGUGAAAACACCAUGGAAGCCAGCACAAGAGUAAUAAAAACCCCUCUUUAGGGCUCCAUCCCCCUCCUGACCCAACUGAUGGCUCUGUUCCUAAUUCCCCGAGGCCGUGCUCACCCUGCUGUCCCUGCAGGGCUCCCAAGACUUCCUUGCAGUCACCUUCCCUUUAAGCCAAUUACAAUAGAAAAACUCAAAAAAAAAAAGUAUAAAAAUAUAAAAUGAAGUGCAGUGUUGUGUUUUCGACACUUUUGCCUUGUUUUAAUGAGCAGAUGUGUGGUUUUUGCUCGGUGUUGUUUCGUUUUUCCAAUGUGCGGUUAUUUUACAAAAUCCAAACUACACCUAAAGCCAUUUAGAAAA